rnacentral:rRNA from 1 species
UAAGUGACUAAGCGUACACGGUGGAUGCCCUGGCAGUCAGAGGCGAUGAAGGACGUGCUAAUCUGCGAAAAGCGUCGGUAAGGUGAUAUGAACCGUUAUAACCGGCGAUGUCCGAAUGGGGAAACCCAGUGCAAUUCGUUGCACUAUCGUUAACUGAAUACAUAGGUUAACGAGGCGAACCGGGGGAACUGAAACAUCUAAGUACCCCGAGGAAAAGAAAUCAACCGAGAUUCCCCCAGUAGCGGCGAGCGAACGGGGAGCAGCCCAGAGUCUGAAUCAGCUUGUGUGUUAGUGGAACGGUCUGGAAAGUCCGACGGUACAGGGUGAUAGUCCCGUACACCAAAAUGCACAGGCUGUGAACUCGAAGAGUAGGGCGGGACACGUGGUAUCCUGUCUGAAUAUGGGGGGACCAUCCUCCAAGGCUAAAUACUCCUGACUGACCGAUAGUGAACCAGUACCGUGAGGGAAAGGCGAAAAGAACCCCGGCGAGGGGAGUGAAAAAGAACCUGAAACCGUGUACGUACAAGCAGUGGGAGCACCUUCGGGUGUGACUGCGUACCUUUUGUAUAAUGGGUCAGCGACUUAUAUUCUGUAGCAAGGUUAACCGUAUAGGGGAGCCGCAGGGAAACCGAGUCUUAACUGGGCGUUAAGUUGCAGGGUAUAGACCCGAAACCCGGUGAUCUAGCCAUGGGCAGGUUGAAGGUUGGGUAACACUAACUGGAGGACCGAACCGACUAAUGUUGAAAAAUUAGCGGAUGACUUGUGGCUGGGGGUGAAAGGCCAAUCAAACCGGGAGAUAGCUGGUUCUCCCCGAAAGCUAUUUAGGUAGCGCCUCGUGAACUCAUCUUCGGGGGUAGAGCACUGUUUCGGCUAGGGGGUCAUCCCGACUUACCAACCCGAUGCAAACUACGAAUACCGAAGAAUGUUAUCACGGGAGACACACGGCGGGUGCUAACGUCCGUCGUGAAGAGGGAAACAACCCAGACCGCCAGCUAAGGUCCCAAAGUCAUGGUUAAGUGGGAAACGAUGUGGGAAGGCACAGACAGCCAGGAUGUUGGCUUAGAAGCAGCCAUCAUUUAAAGAAAGCGUAAUAGCUCACUGGUCGAGUCGGCCUGCGCGGAAGAUGUAACGGGGCUAAACCAUGCACCGAAGCUGCGGCAGCGACACUAUGUGUUGUUGGGUAGGGGAGCGUUCUGUAAGCCUGCGAAGGUGUGCUGUGAGGCAUGCUGGAGGUAUCAGAAGUGCGAAUGCUGACAUAAGUAACGAUAAAGCGGGUGAAAAGCCCGCUCGCCGGAAGACCAAGGGUUCCUGUCCAACGUUAAUCGGGGCAGGGUGAGUCGACCCCUAAGGCGAGGCCGAAAGGCGUAGUCGAUGGGAAACAGGUUAAUAUUCCUGUACUUGGUGUUACUGCGAAGGGGGGACGGAGAAGGCUAUGUUAGCCGGGCGACGGUUGUCCCGGUUUAAGCAUGUAGGCUGGUUGUCCAGGCAAAUCCGGAUAAUCAAGGCUGAGGUGUGAUGACGAGGCACUACGGUGCUGAAGUAACAAAUGCCCUGCUUCCAGGAAAAGCCUCUAAGCAUCAGGUAACAUCAAAUCGUACCCCAAACCGACACAGGUGGUCAGGUAGAGAAUACCAAGGCGCUUGAGAGAACUCGGGUGAAGGAACUAGGCAAAAUGGUGCCGUAACUUCGGGAGAAGGCACGCUGGUGUGUAGGUGAAGUCCCUGCGGAUGGAGCUGAGACCAGUCGAAGAUACCAGCUGGCUGCAACUGUUUAUUAAAAACACAGCACUGUGCAAACACGAAAGUGGACGUAUACGGUGUGACGCCUGCCCGGUGCCGGAAGGUUAAUUGAUGGGGUUAUCCGUAAGGAGAAGCUCUUGAUCGAAGCCCCGGUAAACGGCGGCCGUAACUAUAACGGUCCUAAGGUAGCGAAAUUCCUUGUCGGGUAAGUUCCGACCUGCACGAAUGGCGUAAUGAUGGCCAGGCUGUCUCCACCCGAGACUCAGUGAAAUUGAACUCGCUGUGAAGAUGCAGUGUACCCGCGGCAAGACGGAAAGACCCCGUGAACCUUUACUAUAGCUUGACACUGAACAUUGAGCCUUGAUGUGUAGGAUAGGUGGGAGGCUUUGAAGCGUGGACGCCAGUCUGCGUGGAGCCAACCUUGAAAUACCACCCUUUAAUGUUUGAUGUUCUAACGUUGGCCCCUGACCGGGGUUGCGGACAGUGUCUGGUGGGUAGUUUGACUGGGGCGGUCUCCUCCCAAAGCGUAACGGAGGAGCACGAAGGUUAGCUAAUCCUGGUCGGACAUCAGGAGGUUAGUGCAAUGGCAUAAGCUAGCUUGACUGCGAGCGUGACGGCGCGAGCAGGUGCGAAAGCAGGUCAUAGUGAUCCGGUGGUUCUGAAUGGAAGGGCCAUCGCUCAACGGAUAAAAGGUACUCCGGGGAUAACAGGCUGAUACCGCCCAAGAGUUCAUAUCGACGGCGGUGUUUGGCACCUCGAUGUCGGCUCAUCACAUCCUGGGGCUGAAGUAGGUCCCAAGGGUAUGGCUGUUCGCCAUUUAAAGUGGUACGCGAGCUGGGUUUAGAACGUCGUGAGACAGUUCGGUCCCUAUCUGCCGUGGGCGCUGGAGAAUUGAGGGGGGCUGCUCCUAGUACGAGAGGACCGGAGUGGACGCAUCACUGGUGUUCGGGUUGUCAUGCCAAUGGCACUGCCCGGUAGCUAAAUGCGGAAGAGAUAAGUGCUGAAAGCAUCUAAGCACGAAACUUGCCCCGAGAUGAGUUCUCCCUGAGACUUUAAGUCUCCUGAAGGAACGUUGAAGACGACGACGUUGAUAGGCCGGGUGUGUAAGCGCAGCGAUGCGUUGAGCUAACCGGUACUAAUGAACCGUGAGGCUUAACCU